GUGAGGAAUAUUGCGCAAUGGACGAAAGUCUGACGCAGCCAUGCCGCGUGAAGGAUUGACGGCCCUAUGGGUUGUAAACUUCUUUUGUAUAGGAAUAAACCCUCGUUCGUGAACGAGGCUGAAGGUACUAUAAGAAUAAGCACCGGCUAACUCCGUGCCAGCAGCCGCGGUAAUAUGGAGGGUGCAAGCGUUAUCCGGAUUUAUUGGGUUUAAAGGGUCCGUAGGCGGAUCGUUAAGUCAGUGGUGAAAUCCUACCGCUCAACGGUAGAACUGCCAUUGAUACUGGCGAUCUUGAGUAUGUAUGAAGUUGGCGGAAUGUGUGGUGUAGCGGUGAAAUGCUUAGAUAUCACACAGAACACCGAUUGCGAAGGCAGCUGACUAAUACACAACUGACGCUGAGGGACGAAAGUGUGGGGAUCAAACAGGAUUAGAAACCCCUGUAGUCC
rnacentral:rRNA from 1 species